CACAGAUAAAGAUUCAAGCCCCAUCUCAAUUUGAGGAUGUUUAUGUCUGUCGCAAAUCCAUUCACAGCAUCAAUGUUCAGAUGAUAUGUGAUGCUGAUCGCAUUGCCACAAACCUUGUAGCCAAAUGGCCGGGAAGUGUUCACGACAGUCGAAUAUUCAAGGUGUCGUCCAUUGGCCGAGAACUUGCUAACCAAGCUCCACAUGAUGGAUUCCUUUUGGGAGACAAAGGUUAUGCACUUGAACCGUACCUGAUGACACCUUAUCGGAAUCCAACACCUGAAGAAGCCAGAUA